rnacentral:rRNA from 1 species
GAUGUUGCGUGGAGAACGCUGGCGGCAGGCCUAACACAUGCAAGUCGAACGGUAACAGGAAGAAGCUUGCUCUUUGCUGACGAGUGGCGGACGGGUGAGUAAUGUCUGGGAAACUGCCUGAUGGAGGGGGAUAACUACUGGAAACGGUAGCUAAUACCGCAUAACGUCGCAAGACCAAAGAGGGGGACCUUCGGGCCUCUUGCCAUCGGAUGUGCCCAGAUGGGAUUAGCUAGGUAGGUGGGGUAACGGCUCACCUAGGCGACGAUCCCUAGCUGGUCUGAGAGGAUGACCAGCCACACUGGAACUGAGACACGGUCCAGACUCCUACGGGAGGCAGCAGUGGGGAAUAUUGCACAAUGGGCGCAAGCCUGAUGCAGCCAUGCCUGCGUGUAUGAAGAAGGCCUUCGGGUUGUAAAGUACUUUCAGCGGGGAGGAAGGGAGUAAAGUUAAUACCUUUGCUCAUUGACGUUACCCGCAGAAGAAGCACCGGCCUCCUAACUCUCGUGCCAGCAGCCGGGUAACGAAUACGGAGGUGCAAGCGUUAAUCGGAAUUACUGGGCG